UGCCUAAUACAUGCAAGUAGAACGCUGAAGAGAGGAGCUUGCUCUUCUUGGAUGAGUUGCGAACGGGUGAGUAACGCGUAGGUAACCUGCCUUGUAGCGGGGGAUAACUAUUGGAAACGAUAGCUAAUACCGCAUAACAAUGGAUGACACAUGUCAUUUAUUUGAAAGGGGCAAUUGCUCCACUACAAGAUGGACCUGCGUUGUAUUAGCUAGUAGGUGAGGUAACGGCUCACCUAGGCGACGAUACAUAGCCGACCUGAGAGGGUGAUCGGCCACACUGGGACUGAGACACGGCCCAGACUCCUACGGGAGGCAGCAGUAGGGAAUCUUCGGCAAUGGGGGCAACCCUGACCGAGCAACGCCGCGUGAGUGAAGAAGGUUUUCGGAUCGUAAAGCUCUGUUGUAAGUCAAGAACGAGUGUGAGAGUGGAAAGUUCACACUGUGACGGUAGCUUACCAGAAAGGGACGGCUAACUACGUGCCAGCAGCCGCGGUAAUACGUAGGUCCCGAGCGUUGUCCGGAUUUAUUGGGCGUAAAGCGAGCGCAGGCGGUUUGAUAAGUCUGAAGUUAAAGGCUGUGGCUCAACCAUAGUUCGCUUUGGAAACUGUCAAACUUGAGUGCAGAAGGGGAGAGUGGAAUUCCAUGUGUAGCGGUGAAAUGCGUAGAUAUAUGGAGGAACACCGGUGGCGAAAGCGGCUCUCUGGUCUGUAACUGACGCUGAGGCUCGAAAGCGUGGGGAGCGAACAGGAUUAGAUACCCUGGUAGUCCACGCCGUAAACGAUGAGUGCUAGGUGUUGGAUCCUUUCCGGGAUUCAGUGCCGCAGCUAACGCAUUAAGCACUCCGCCUGGGGAGUACGACCGCAAGGUUGAAACUCAAAGGAAUUGACGGGGGCCCGCACAAGCGGUGGAGCAUGUGGUUUAAUUCGAAGCAACGCGAAGAACCUUACCAGGUCUUGACAUCCCGAUGCUAUUUCUAGAGAUAGAAAGUUACUUCGGUACAUCGGUGACAGGUGGUGCAUGGUUGUCGUCAGCUCGUGUCGUGAGAUGUUGGGUUAAGUCCCGCAACGAGCGCAACCCCUAUUGUUAGUUGCCAUCAUUCAGUUGGGCACUCUAGCGAGACUGCCGGUAAUAAACCGGAGGAAGGUGGGGAUGACGUCAAAUCAUCAUGCCCCUUAUGACCUGGGCUACACACGUGCUACAAUGGUUGGUACAACGAGUUGCGAGUCGGUGACGGCAAGCUAAUCUCUUAAAGCCAAUCUCAGUUCGGAUUGUAGGCUGCAACUCGCCUACAUGAAGUCGGAAUCGCUAGUAAUCGCGGAUCAGCACGCCGCGGUGAAUACGUUCCCGGGCCUUGUACACACCGCCCGUCACACCACGAGAGUUUGUAACACCCGAAGUCGGUGAGGUAACCUUUUGGAGCCAGCCGCCUAAGGUG
rnacentral:rRNA from 1 species